CCACCCCUCGAGACACCAGGACGGCGGGGCGAGGACGAUCCGUACCCCGGGGGUUCAGGGAAGGAAAGAAAGCUGGAGAGAGUCGAGCGGGCUGCACUUUACGCCGAAGUUUCCCCUUUGAAUCGUCUGGAGUUGGUCACAUUCCAUGAUUUGAUAAGGUCAAGGCGAAUCAGAACACUGUAUGUACAUCAAGGCAGCUGUGUGCACUUCUAGGACAUUAAGAUCUUACAAGAAGAGUAUGGGGCGGUCAUUACCCCUGAAAAAAGUCAGCAUCGAUAAGAUACAUCAUAAAGGAGACUACAUUUGCAAAACCUGUAGAACCAGAAGAACCAAGUAUCCCUUGCUCCAGUGCACUAAUUCACAUCCUAUACAAUAUGCCCACAUUAAUGUUGGCAGCUGGGGGCAAAAGUUCAAAAAAUCAAACUAUACGUGGUCGAGGAGAUGGCGCAGUGAUAAGGCUUUGGACUCUUAACCAUGAGGUCCCGAGUUCGAUUCUCGGUCACAAGUUCAGUUCACAUUACAUGUGCAAAAGUAAUGUCUGGUUCUUUCUCUCUCCUCCUAUCUUUCUCAUAAAUAAAAUAAGUCUUUUAAAAAAAAGAAAGAAAGAAAUAUAAAAGAAAGAAAUCAAACUAUCCUUUGAAAAAGGUGAAGCAGUGCUGCAGGUAUCUCUCUCUUCCACUCUAUCUCUCCCUCCCCUCUUGACUUUUCUCUCUCUCUCUCUCUCUCUAUAUAUAUAUAUAUAUGUGUGUGUGUGUGUGU